rnacentral:rRNA from 1 species
CACGUAGGGUGCGAGCGUUGUCCGGAAUUAUUGGGCGUAAAGAGCUCGUAGGCGGUGUGUCGCGUCGGCCGUGAAAACCUGCAGCUUAACUGUGGGCUUGCGGUCGAUACGGGCAUCACUGGAGUUCGGCAGGGGGAGACUGGAAUUCCUGGUGUAGCGGUGAAAUGCGCAGAUAUCAGGAGGAACACCGGUGGCGAAGGCGGGUCUCUGGGCCGAUGACUGACGCUGAGGAGCGAAAGCGUGGGGAGCGAACAGG